ACGGGUGUGUAAUGUCUGGGGAUCUGCCCGAUAGAGGGGGAUAACCACUGGAAACGGUGGCUAAUACCGCAUAACGUCGCAAGACCAAAGAGGGGGACCUUCGGGCCUCUCACUAUCGGAUGAACCCAGAUGGGAUUAGCUAGUAGGCGGGGUAAUGGCCCACCUAGGCGACGAUCCCUAGCUGGUCUGAGAGGAUGACCAGCCACACUGGAACUGAGACACGGUCCAGACUCCUACGGGAGGCAGCAGUGGGGAAUAUUGCACAAUGGGCGCAAGCCUGAUGCAGCCAUGCCGCGUGUAUGAAGAAGGCCUUCGGGUUGUAAAGUACUUUCAGCGGGGAGGAAGGCAGUGAGGUUAAUAACCUUACUGAUUGACGUUACCCGCAGAAGAAGCACCGGCUAACUCCGUGCCAGCAGCCGCGGUAAUACGGAGGGUGCAAGCGUUAAUCGGAAUUACUGGGCGUAAAGCGCACGCAGGCGGUCUGUUAAGUCAGAUGUGAAAUCCCCGGGCUUAACCUGGGAACUGCAUUUGAAACUGGCAGGCUUGAGUCUCGUAGAGGGGGGUAGAAUUCCAGGUGUA
rnacentral:rRNA from 1 species